rnacentral:rRNA from 1 species
GACGAACGCUGGCGGCGUGCUUAACACAUGCAAGUCGAACGAUGAAGCUAGAGCUUGCUCUGGUGAAUUAGUGGCGAACGGGUGAGUAACACGUGAGUAACCUGCCCCGAACUCUGGGAUAACUGCUGGAAACGGUAGCUAAUACUGGAUACGACCUACGAAGGCAUCUUCUGUAGGUGGAAAGAAUUUCGGUUCGGGAUGGACUCGCGGCCUAUCAGCUUGUUGGUGAGGUAAUGGCUCACCAAGGCGACGACGGGUAGCCGGCCUGAGAGGGUGACCGGCCACACUCGGACUGAGAGACGGCCCAGACUCCUACGGGAGGCAGCAGUGGGGAAUAUUGCACGAUGGGCGCAAGCCUGAUGCAGCGACGCCGCGUGAGGGAUGACGGCCUUCGGGUUGUAAACCUCUUUCAGCACCGACGAAGCGCAAGUGACGGUAGGUGCAGAAGAAGGACCGGCCAACUACGUGCCAGCCGCCGGGUAA